UUCAAAGGCCGAGAGAAACACCAUUCCAAAAGCCAAAACCUGAGAGACAGCACACUGUAAUCCUCUGAGACUGGAGCAGAUGAUCGUCUGUGUCGCGAUCUUCGGUCUUCAGAACAAUCCACUGUACAUACAGAGUUUUACUGAAGCAGACGAUGGACUCAAGCUCCACCACAUAGUUCACUGCUCCCUUGACGUGGUCGAUGAGAGAGGUAUGGUUAUUUGACUAACACGAAGGUGAAAUUCAUCCUGGUCACUUUGGAUUUAGAUGUCAGGGAUGCAGAUGUGAGGAUCACUUACUAGCUUCUGGUAUUAUUGGCUUCCCCCCCUGAUCUGUCUGAACUGGAGUAACUAUAUGCCCAUAGUAUAUAUCAGAUAUUGAAAGUUAGGUGAUGGAGGGCGGUUCUAAUAAUCUGACUACAAAGGCUGAAGCUCCUUAAAUCACCUGUUAUAUCUUGAAGCAGUUGGAGGUGUUCUUUCGGAAGUUCCAUGCUGCCUUUGUGGAUGCAGUUUCAAACCCCUUUCACGUGCUAGGUAAAAAGAUCACAUCCAUAACUUUUUCAGAAAGAGUAAGCAAUAUCGUCAAGUCAUUUGGUUUGAGCUCAGCAGUCUAAUCUCAGUCAAUGCAUUUCUAAAGCUGUUGGAUUGCUUCAAGCAACCAUUUUUCUCUGCCUCUGGCUAGGAAGUGAACAAAUAUUGUACGAAAUUGGAGUUAGAGUUGUAGCUAAAAAAAAAGUGUUUUCACCUCUUAAUUAGAGAUGGUUCUUUUAUUUUAGUGCAUAUUAUUCCUUACAAACUUGACAUGCAUCCACUUCAAUCGCAGAUGUAACUCCGCCCUUUAUCUGUCCCUUUGAUAUUUUAGAUGUAGGCUAUUUGAUCCAAAAUAAUAUGCAAUAAAGUUAAACGAUUAAUUAAGU